rnacentral:lncRNA from 1 species
GGAGUUGCAGAACCGAGGUCGCCACCGCCAGGAGCUGUGCGACCUCGUCUUCAUUUUCCUCCUCUUGUCGACUGUUGUACCUCCACUUCUCCUUUGCCAGCCACCGCGUGCGGUAUAUACGCAGAUCUAGCCAAUUAAUGGCCGCCAAUGCCUCUCCCUCCUCUUGCGAACUUAUUAGAUCCGGCUGCAUGAACUACCUCUCGUUCACGACGAUGCAGAUCAGGUGAGAGCUCGACGACAACGGUGAUGGACUGAUGGCGGAAAGGCAUA